CUUAUGGUGUCCGCGUUAUAGUCCGCAGAGAUAAAAUAUCCGAAUUUUUUAAUAAUAGUAUAACUACUUGGUCUUCAAUAACAUAAUGCAAUCGCCUAAUUCUGGUUCUUAUUUUUGCAUAGUUUGGCUACAUCAACUUAAAUAAUAAUGUUUUGGGGGAUUAUAUUGGAAGCUGGUAAACAGUACACACAGGUUGUUGAGCAUUCCUUUCAUGUUUCCAUGGCUACUCUAGGAAUUGAUUCUGAUUCUGAAGAACCUGUGUCUGUUUGUCUAGAGCAAAAUGCUAAAAUAUUUAUUUUAUGUACACUUAAAUCUGGCCAUUGCUAUCAGCAAUCUUUAAAUUUGAAUUUCACAGUAGGAGAAAAGGUGACUUUUUCCAUUGAGGGAAACAGAGAAGUGCAUUUAUCAGGUUUUCAUUGAUUUUUCUCAGGAUAUGUACAUCCUGAGUCAAGCGAAGACGAAGUUUCUACAGAUGAUGACUGUGAUGAUGCAAAUACAGAGUUACCAAAUACUGUAUUAACACCAGAUCGUAAUUUAUUAACAGGAAGUAACAUGGAUAGUAAUCCUGUUGUAAAUGCUUCACCUAUGGGCAGUUUGUCAUUCAAUAAUUUAAUAUGUAAUACAUCUGUUGAUAACUCCAGUGAGGGGAAGACUUCUAGCAAGAAAUUUGAAAAACAAUACACUGAACAUAGCAAAAAAAGAAAAUAUGUUAAAAUUUAAUUUGAGAUUUAAAUAAAAUAUUGUUUCGAA